UACGGAGGGGGCUAGCGUUGUUCGGAAUUCCUGGGCGUAAAGCGCACGUAGGCGGCUUUGUAAGUCAGAUGUGAAAGCCCCGGGCUCAACCUGGGAAUUGCAUUUGAGACUGCGUAGCUAGGGUGCGGAAGAGGGAAGCGGAAUUUCCGGUGUAGCGGUGAAAUGCGUAGAUAUCGGAAGGAACACCAGUGGCGAAAGCGGCUUCCUGGUCCAGCACCGACGUUCAGGCACGAAAGCGUGGGGAGCAAACAGG
rnacentral:rRNA from 1 species